rnacentral:rRNA from 1 species
GUCUGCGGCCAUGCCACCUUGAACAAGCCCGAUGUCUGAUCUUGGAAGCUAAACAGGGUUGGUCCUGGUUAGUACUUGGAUGGAAGACCACCUAGGAAGACCAGGUGCUGUAGGCA